GAUUAACGCUAGCGGCAGGCAUAAUACAUGCAAGUUGAACGGCAGCACAGGUAGCAAUACUGGGUGGCGAGUGGCGCACGGGUGCGUAAUACGUAUGCAACCUACCCUAUACAGGCGAAUAACCUUUAGAAAUGAGGGCUAAUACGCCGUAGUAUUACAGAUGGGCAUCUAUUUGUAAUUAAAGAUUUAUCGGUAUAGGAUGGGCAUGCGUCCCAUUAGUUAGUUGGUAAGGUAACGGCUUACCAAGACGAUGAUGGGUAGGGGAUCUGAGAGGACUUACCCCCACACUGGUACUGAGACACGGACCAGACUCCUACGGGAGGCAGCAGUAAGGAAUAUUGGGCAAUGGCCGCGAGGCUGACCCAGCCAUGCCGCGUGCAGGAAGACGGCCUUAUGGGUUGUAAACUGCUUUUAUACGGGAAUAAUAGAGUGUACGCGUACAUUUAUGCAAGUAUCGUAUGAAUAAGCAUCGGCUAACUCCGUG
rnacentral:rRNA from 1 species